AUACCCGCUUUCGGCCCGUCCCGGUUCAUCCCAUGAUUGGAGGCAGCGAACUGGGCCAUCGCCGGGCCCACAGCAUGCCGCUUUGCCUAGCCUCACAUACCAUUGUCCAAGUGCCCGGCGACGGGUAAGGCUAACGGGAUUGGCUUGGACUGUGGCCCCACAUGUGAAGAGUGUGACUUCUCCUUGCCGUGAGACUCCGAGACAUGACACCAUCGCCACCACAUGGUGUGACACCUAAAGCGUGCACAGUGAAAGCAGUGGGAGGAGUAUUAGCUUGCACACAUCUGUUGGGAGCGCGUGAUCCCGAGCCCACGGUGCGACAGCUAGCGCCUGCAUCGAUCCAACGCCUCGCCUCAACGGUGGUCGGUCGUCAUGGCUGGCGGGCGGGCGGGCGCGUGUGGGGGCGCUGCAGGCGAAGGCGUCGGAUCGUACGAGAUGAAUUACGUCGAACACAUAGCGGGCAUACGGUCACUGCAACGAGGAGGACACGGGUGUGUGCGCUGCUCUUUGGAUCGAUUUUGGGGUUGUGGUGGGAAUCCAUUGAACGUGGCAUAUAUGCGGAAGGCUGUGCAUCUGAAUGCGACGGCUUGCUAUCUGGAUGGGAUGGGAGCAAGUUUGAUGGAAUAUGCUGUCUGGUCCAGCUUCGUUUGCAGUAGCACUAUCUGCAAAGAAUAGAAGGGUGACAGGCGAGGCGAGGCGAGGCGAGUCAUCGGCAUGUCUCCAUAUGGCACAAGUGUCAUACCUUCCUUAUUGGGCAGUCGCGAACUGGCAUCAUGGACGUUCCCAAAUCAAUCUGGAUAUUUGGGAUAUUGAUCAGAUCAAAUUUGAUCUAUAAUUCCGACUUGAUAAAAUUGAUCUAACAUGAUCUAUUUUUGAAGUACUUUAUAUGUAUUUUUUAUGCUGAACAAA